AUUGAACGCUGGCGGCAUGCCUUACACAUGCAAGUCGAACGGUAACGGGCCUUCGGGUGCCGACGAGUGGCGAACGGGUGAGUAAUGUAUCGGAACGUACCUUUCAGUGGGGGAUAACGUAGCGAAAGUUACGCUAAUACCGCAUAUUCUGUGAGCAGGAAAGCAGGGGAUCGCAAGACCUUGCGCUGAUUGAGCGGCCGAUAGCAGAUUAGCUAGUUGGUGAGGUAAAAGCUCACCAAGGCGACGAUCUGUAGCAGGGUCUGAGAGGAUGAUCCGCCACACUGGAACUGAGACACGGUCCAGACUCCUACGGGAGGCAGCAGUGGGGAAUUUUGGACAAUGGGGGCAACCCUGAUCCAGCCAUGCCGCGUGAGUGAAGAAGGCCUUCGGGUUGUAAAGCUCUUUCGGCCGGGAAGAAAUCGUAUCAGCUAAUACCUGGUGCGGAUGACGGUACCGGCAUAAGAAGCACCGGCUAACUACGUGCCAGCCGCCGCGGUAAUAC
rnacentral:rRNA from 1 species